rnacentral:rRNA from 1 species
CCUACGGGAGGCAGCAGUGGGGAAUUUUGGACAAUGUGCGCAAGCCUGAUCCAGCUAUUCCGCGUGUGGGAAGACGGCCUUCGGGUUGUAAACCACUUUUGUAGAGAACGAAAAGUCUAUUGAUAAUACCAAUAGCCGAUGAUGGUACCCUAAGAAUAACCACCGGCUAACUACGUGCCAGCAGCCGCGGUAAUACGAAGGGUGCGAGCGUUAAUCGGAAUUACUGGGCGUAAAGGGUGUGCAGGUGGUUUUGCAAGAUGGAUGUGAAAGCCCCGGGCUUAACCUGGGAAAUCCACACAAGACUGCAAGACUAGAGUGCAUCAGAGGUGAGUGGAAUUCCAAGUGUAGCAGUGAAAUGCGUAGAUAUUAGGAAGAACACCGAUGGCGAAGGCAGCCGCCUGGGACGCAACUGACGCUCAUACGCGAAAGCGUGGGGAGCAAACAGGAUUAGAUACCCCAGUAGUC